GACUGCAUCUGCUAUUGUUGCUGAAGCAGUUGUGCAAUUAUCUGGUACACCCCUGCCAGGUCUGCUUGCGUUGCCACAGGGUCUGGGGUGUGUGCCCAUGAUUGUAUGCUAGGGUCUGGGGUGUGUGCCCAUGAUUGUAUGCUAGGGUCUGGGGUGUGUGCCCAUGAUUGUAUACUAGGGUCUGGAGAAAGUGCUCUCAUAUCUCCUUCG
rnacentral:lncRNA from 1 species